CAUCUUCAGUAGCUUCUUUUUGGUGAACGGGACGGCAAGAAGGUUUGCCGUGCAACAGCCAGACAGCACCGGAAACACAAGAUCCGGCGUAGGAAAGUCUUGGCAGCUUUAAGAGGGCAGACGAUAGUGACUCCUAGGGCAACCAUUCAUCCAACUAAUUCCUUCCGAUCCGGUCCAAGGAGAAAUCUGGCGCCGAAACCCUUCAUGAGUUGUUCGAAAGGAACUGUCGCCAACAAACAUCGUUCAAUGUACCGGUUCAAAACUUAAAUCAUAGGGAAAAUCGAUAAUGUGAAUGUGAUAAUGUAAUCUAAAUAAAUAAAAUGUUGUAAACCAUAAUUGAUUUCUUUUUUUUCCAAUUGGAAGAAAAUUAAUAUGUAGUACUAGAAUUAUUAAAACAAAAAGUAGAAUUGAAGAACAAAUGCUUUUAAAUUGAAACCCAAAUACCGUUGGAACAAACGAAAAGUUCAUAAAAUUAAACGAAAAGACUUUUGAAUCAAAAGCAUUUUGUUUUUCGAAUCAAAGAAAAAGUUUUGAUUCAAAGGAAAGCAUUUCUUCGAAACAAAAGAAAAUGUUUUUGAAUCGAAGGAAUUUUUAU